rnacentral:snoRNA from 1 species
GAAAGAGAUGAUGAUUAUUAACUCUUUGAUUAAGCUGAUAUGAUGGCUAGUUAUCAUGUAUUAGCUCUAGCUGAUCAUUC